GCUUGUCUCAAAGAUUAAGCCAUGCAUGUCUUAGUGUAAAUAACUCUUAUGAAACUGCGAAUGGCUCAUUAAAACAGUUAUCGUUUCUUUGGUGGUUAUUGAUUACAUGGAUAACCGUGGUAAUUCUAGAGCUAAUACAUGCAUCAGUACCCGACUUUGUGGAAGGGUUGUGUUUAUUAGAUAUAGAACCAACCCAGGCUCUGCCUGGUUAUGUGGUGAUUCAUGAUAACUGAAUGAAUCGCAUGGUCCGCCGGCGAUAAAUCAUUCAAGUUUCUGACCUAUCAGCUUCCGACGGUAGGGUAUUGGCCUACCGUGGCAAUGACGGGUAACGGAGAAUUAGGGUUCGAUUCCGGAGAGGGAGCCUGAGAAACGGCUACCACAUCUAAGGAAGGCAGCAGG
rnacentral:rRNA from 1 species